rnacentral:tRNA from 1 species
AGAUUAGCCGGGACAUAUAAGAACUUCUAAUUCCUAUAGGGGGGUUCAACUCCUCCAUAAUCUU